rnacentral:rRNA from 1 species
GACGAACGCUGGCGGCGUGCCUAAUACAUGCAAGUCGAGCGAAUCACUGGGAGCUUGCUCCCGGUGGUUAGCGGCGGACGGGUGAGUAACACGUGGGCAACCUGCCUGUAAGACUGGGACAACUUCGGGAAACCGGAGCUAAUACCGGAUAAUUUCUUCCCUCACAUGAGGGAAGGUUGAAAGUCGGUUUCGGCUGACACUUACAGAUGGGCCCGCGGCGCAUUAGCUAGUUGGUGAGGUAACGGCUCACCAAGGCGACGAUGCGUAGCCGACCGGAGAGGGUGAUCGGCCACACUGGGACUGAGACACGGCCCAGACUCCUACGGGAGGCAGCAGUAGGGAAUCUUCCACAAUGGACGAAAGUCUGAUGGAGCAACGCCGCGUGAGCGAUGAAGGCCUUCGGGUCGUAAAGCCCUGUUGUCAGGGAAGAACAAGUAUCGGAGUGACUGCCGGUGCCUUGACGGUACCUGACCAGAAAGCCACGGCUAACUACGUGCCAGCAGCCGCCGUAA